CAAUAGCGUAUAUUAACGUUGUUGCAGUUAAAAGGCUCGUAGUCGAACCUAUGAUCUCGUGCACUCGAACCUCUGUCAAGCACAGUGUGUGUCGAUGUUCACAGAUCAUCCUUCUGGAAAACACUUCUGCCCUUGAUUGGGUUGGUUGUGGGAUCCAGAUCAUUUACUGUGAGUAAAUCAAAGUGUUCAAAGCAGGCUUUCACGCUUGUAUGCUCUAGCAUGGAAUAAUAAGAUAGGACUUUGGUUCUAUUUUGUUGGCUUCUAGGACCAAAGUAAUGAUUGAAAGGGAUAGUUGGGGGUGCUAGUAUUUAACGGUCAGCGGUGAAAUGCAUGGACCCGUUAAAGACUAACUUAUGCGAAAGCAUUCACCAAGGAUAUUUUCUUUGA
rnacentral:rRNA from 1 species